CGAUCUUUUGUCGUUUAGGCUCGAUCGCCGUUGCCGCUAUUUUGUUGUGUUGGAAGUAACGUUGAGUUCCUUGAAUUCACAACCAACUUGUAAUUUGUUGGAGUUCAGUUCGCUAAUACCUUGGUGUCUUUCAUUGGAUAUAGUUUGUUCGAGAAAUUGAGUUACCUUAAGGCAAAGGUAAUAAAGGUGGCAAACCGGCGAGGGGCAGGAAGGAAGCGUGAUGCCAUAGGAAACGUGUAAUUGCUUCCGCUUAAUUAAGAUUGAUUUGAAAUUUAAUUUACAAACGUUUGUUGUAAACAGUAUUAUUUUAUGUUUUCUUGAAUGUUUAAAAAUCAGGCCUGACUUGAAGAUGUUUUUUUUUUU